GGUGACAGCGGAGGGAUCAUUACAGAGUUACCCAACUCCCAAACCAUUGUGAACGUUACCUCUCCCGUUGCUUCGGCGGGCGGGCCGGCCCCAGGGCCGCGCCCCCCCCGGCCCCUCGCGGGGCGCCCGCCGGAGGAAACCCAACUCUUGAUUAUCAUGGCCUCUCUGAGUCUUCUGUACUGAAUAAGUCAAAACUUUCAACAACGGAUCUCUUGGUUCUGGCAUCGAUGAAGAACGCAGCGAAAUGCGAUAAGUAAUGUGAAUUGCAGAAUUCAGUGAAUCAUCGAAUCUUUGAACGCACAUUGCGCCCGCCAGUAUUCUGGCGGGCAUGCCUGUUCGAGCGUCAUUUCAACCAUCAAGCCCCGUGCUUGUGUUGGGGACCUGCGGCUGCCGCAGGCCCUGAAAACCAGUGGCGGGCUCGCUGUCACACCGGGCGUAGUAAUUACAUCUCGCUCAGGGCGUGCUGCGGGUUCCGGCCGUAAACAGCCUUAUUUACCCAAGGUUGACCUCGGAUCAGGUAGGAAGACCCGCUGAACUUAAGCAUAU
rnacentral:rRNA from 1 species